rnacentral:ncRNA from 1 species
GCCGGCUCCGAACGGGAUCCGGCGGAGAAUAGGAAAUCCGGUCAGAAUCCGGAACGGUACCGCCACUGUAUGCGCGGAGGCCGUACACAAGGCGAAAGCCGGCCAUUGGAGCAUUCCGAGAAGGCCGUGUACGUGCCGGUGAGGCGCAAGUCAGGAGACCUGCUGAAA